rnacentral:sRNA from 10 species
CCUAGCCCCGAUAGAAGCAGAAAUCCUUCCGCGCCGGGGUUCGGCGCAGAAGAUUGGAGCGGAUAGCGGGAUCAGCU